rnacentral:pre_miRNA from 1 species
UUAACGCAAACUUGUAUGGAGUUGGCAUGUUUGCCUACGUUUGCCGCUAGGGGCGCUGUUACAACUGCAUACAAAUUUGCGUUA